GACGAACGCUGGCGGCGUGCUUAACACAUGCAAGUCGAACAGUGGCGAACGGGUGAGUAACACGUGCGUAACCUGCCCUCCACUUUGGGAUAACUCCGAGACAUCGGGGCUAAUACUGGAUAGUGGGGGAUGGGCUCGCGGCCUAUCGGUUUGUUGGUGAGGUAGUGGUCACCAAGGGGUGACGGGUAGCCGGCCUGAGAGGGGGACCGGCCACACUGGGACUGCGACACGGCCCAGACGCCGACGUGAGGCAGCAGUGGGGAGUAUUGCACAAUGAGCCAAAGCCUGAUGCAGCGACGCCGGGUGGGGGAUGACGUCCUUCGGGUUGUAAACAUCUUUCAGCAAGGAAGCGGUACUUGCAGAAGAAGCGACGGCUAACUACGUGCCAGCAGCCGCGGUAAUAC
rnacentral:rRNA from 1 species